AGAGCUGCUUCCUUACAGAGUUAUCGUAUGGCUCCAAUAAGAUCAUAUGGAUCCUCUCAUAUGAAACAAGCCAAGAUGAAUUGGAGCUGAUUUCCCCUGGGCAGAGCUUGCUUCUCAUCCCUAGUACUCAAGGACGGUUCUCUCGCUCUCCUCCCCACUGUGCCUGCCACACAGAAAGAAAGUGAAGCCCCUGUGCCACCCAUUAAUGAAGAUGGGGCCAAUACGCUUGCCCAGGGUAAUUUGGCGUUUGGACAAACUUCUCUUGGUUCAAAGGAAGAAUUUGCUGUUUUAACAGAGUCACUGAAGGCCAUUGUAAAGACAAAAAUGAAAAGACAAAAGUCAGACAGCUGGCCCUGGCCCAAGAGAAAAUGAAUG
rnacentral:lncRNA from 1 species